UACGUAGGGUGCAAGCGUUAAUCGGAAUUACUGGGCGUAAAGCGUGCGCAGGCGGCUUUGCAAGACAGAUGUGAAAUCCCCGGGCUCAACCUGGGAACUGCAUUUGUGACUGCAUGGCUGGAGUGCGGCAGAGGGGGAUGGAAUUCCGCGUGUAGCAGUGAAAUGCGUAGAUAUGCGGAGGAACACCGAUGGCGAAGGCAAUCCCCUGGGCCUGCACUGACGCUCAUGCACGAAAGCGUGGGUAGCAAACAGG
rnacentral:rRNA from 1 species